GUGAGUAACACGUGAGUAACCUGCCCUUGACUCUGGGAUAAGCCUGGGAAACUGGGUCUAAUACCGGAUAUGACUCCUCAUCGCAUGGUGGGGGGUGGAAAGCUUUUUGUGGUUUUGGAUGGACUCGCGGCCUAUCAGCUUGUUGGUGGGGUAAUGGCCUACCAAGGCGACGACGGGUAGCCGGCCUGAGAGGGUGACCGGCCACACUGGGACUGAGACACGGCCCAACUCCUACGGGAGGCAGCAGGGGGAAUAUUGCACAAUGGGCGAAAGCCUGAUGCAGCGACCCGCGUGAGGGAUGACGGCCUUCGGGUUGUAAACCUCUUUCAGUAGGGAAGAAGCCCUCUUUGGGGGUGACGGUACUUGCAAAAAGCGCCGGCUAACUACGUGCCAGCAGCCGCGGUAAUACGUAGGGCGCAAGCGUUAUCCGGAAUUAUUGGGCGUAAAGAGCUCGUAGGCGGUUUGUCGCGUCUGCUGUAAAGACCGGGGCUCAACUCCGGUUCUGCAGUGGGUACGGGCAGACUAGAGUGCAGUAGGGGAGACUGGAAUUCCUGGUGUAGCGGUGAAAUGCGCAGAUAUCAGGAGGAACACCGAUGGCGAAGGCAGGUCUCUGGGCUGUAACUGACGCUGAGGAGCGAAAGCAUGGGGAGCGAACAGGAUUAGAUACCCUGGUAGUCCAUGCCGUAAACGUUGGGCACUAGGUGUGGGGGGACAUUCCACGUUUUCCGCGCCGUAGCUAACGCAUUAAGUGCCCCGCCUGGGGAGUACGGCCGCAAGGCUAAAACUCAAAGGAAUUGACGGGGGCCCGCACAGCGGCGGAGCUGCGGAUUAAUUGAUGCAACGCGAAGAACCUUACCAAGGCUUGACAUGGACCGGAAAGACCGGAAACAGGUGCCCCGCUGCGGCCGGUUUACAGGUGGUGCAUGGUUGUGUCAGCUGUGUGUGAGAUGUUGGGUUAAGUCCCGCAACGAGCGCAACCCUGUUUAUGUUGCCAGCGGUUGGCCGGGGACUCAUAGGAGACUGCCGGGGUCAACUGGAGGAAGGUGGGGACGACGUCAAAUCAUCAUGCCCCUUAUGUUUGGGCUUCACGCUGCUACAAUGGCCGGUACAAAGGGUUGCGAUACUGUGAGGUGGAGCUAAUCCCAAAAAGCCGGUUCAGUUGGAUUGGGGUUGCAACUGACCCCAUGAAGUGGAGUCGCUAGUAAUCGCAGAUCAGCAACGCUGCGGUGAAUACGUUCCCGGGCCUUGUACACACCGCCCGUC
rnacentral:rRNA from 1 species